UACGUAGGGACCAAGCGUUGUUCGGAUUUACUGGGCGUAAAGGGCGCGUAGGCGGCAAUUCAAGUCAGCUGUGAAAUCUCCGGGCUUAACUCGGAACGGUCAGCUGAUACUGCUUUGCUAGAGUGCAGAAGGGGCAAUCGGAAUUCUUGGUGUAGCGGUGAAAUGCGUAGAUAUCAAGAGGAACACCUGAGGUGAAGACGGUUUACUGUGCUAUAACUGACACUGAGGCGCGAAAGCUAGGGGAGCAAACAGG
rnacentral:rRNA from 1 species